UUGGCCCUGAAUCAAGGCCAGCAGUUUGCUGAAGCUGUUGGUUUCAAACAGGAGCCUAAAGAAGUCUCUUUCUAUGGUCUGUUUGGCCAUUUCAGAUCUUGGAAAUGUAAUGGUCAAUUCAUUAGAAAGAAACAUCU
ensembl:snoRNA